rnacentral:rRNA from 1 species
CUGAACCUUCGGGGAACGAUAACGGCGUCGAGCGGCGGACGGGUGAGUAAUGCCUAGGAAAUUGCCCUGAUGUGGGGGAUAACCAUUGGAAACGAUGGCUAAUACCGCAUGAUGCCUACGGGCCAAAGAGGGGGACCUUCGGGCCUCUCGCGUCAGGAUAUGCCUAGGUGGGAUUAGCUAGUUGGUGAGGUAAGGGCUCACCAAGGCGACGAUCCCUAGCUGGUCUGAGAGGAUGAUCAGCCACACUGGAACUGAGACACGGUCCAGACUCCUACGGGAGGCAGCAGUGGGGAAUAUUGCACAAUGGGCGCAAGCCUGAUGCAGCCAUGCCGCGUGUAUGAAGAAGGCCUUCGGGUUGUAAAGUACUUUCAGUCGUGAGGAAGGUUCAUGCGUUAAUAGCGUAUGGAUUUGACGUUAGCGACAGAAGAAGCACCGGCUAACUCCGUGCCAGCAGCCGCGGUAAUACGGAGGGUGCGAGCGUUAAUCGGAAUUACUGGGCGUAAAGCGCAUGCAGGUGGUUUGUUAAGUCAGAUGUGAAAGCCCGGGGCUCAACCUCGGAAUAGCAUUUGAAACUGGCAGACUAGAGUACUGUAGAGGGGGGUAGAAUUUCAGGUGUAGCGGUGAAAUGCGUAGAGAUCU